rnacentral:rRNA from 1 species
GACGAACGCUGGCGGCGUGCUUAACACAUGCAAGUCGAACGGAAAGGCCCUGCUUUUGUGGUGUGCUCGAGUGGCGAACGGGUGAGUGACACGUGAGUAACCUGCCCUUGACUUUGGGAUAACUUCAAGAUACUGGGGCUUAUACCGACUAGGUGCUCUCGCUGCAUGGCGGGGGGUGGAAAGGUUCGGCGGUUGGGGUUGGUCUCGCGGCUUAUCAGCUUGGUGGUGUGGUAGUGUCUUACCACGGCGUUGACGGGUAGCCGGCCUGGGAGGGUGACCGGCCCCAUUGGGACUGGGCUACGACCCGGACUGCUACGGGAGGCAGGGGUGGAGGAUAGUGGAAGCUGGGCGGAGGGCUGAUGCAGCCACGCCGCGUGGGGGAUGACGGCCAUCGGGUUGGAAACCGCUUCCUCCUGUGACGAAGCGUGAGUGACGGUAAUGGGUAAGGAAGCCCCGGCUAACUACGUG